rnacentral:rRNA from 1 species
CACGGGGGUUGGAGGGCAAGUCUGGUGCCAGCAGCCGCGGUAAUUCCAGCUCCAAUAGCGUAUAUUAAAGUUGUUGCAGUUAAAAAGCUCGUAGUUGAAUUUCGGGAUCAGUAGGUUGGUCAUGCCUAUGGUAUGUACUGGCUUUACUGGUUCCUCCUUCUUGAUGAUCUGUAAUGUCAUUAAUUUGGUGUUGCAGGGAGUCAGGACUGUUACUUUGAAAAAAUUAGAGUGUUUAAAGCAGGCAUACGCUUGAAUACAUUAGCAUGGAAUAAUGAAAUAGGACGUUCGAUCCUAUUUUGUUGGUUUCUAGGAUUGACGUAAUGAUUAAUAGGGAUAGUUGGGGGCAUUAGUAUUCAAUUGUCAGAGGUGAAAUUCUUGGAUUUAUUGAAGACUAACUACUGCGAAAGCAUUUGCCAAGGAUGUUUUCAUUAAUCAAGAACGAAAGUUAGGGGAUCGAAGACGAUCAGAUACCGUCGUAGUC